rnacentral:RNase_P_RNA from 1 species
GCGGAAGGUCGGAUGACCGCGGGCAGGGCAACCUGCACGAGGAAAGUCCGGACUCCAUGAAGCAAAGGUGCCGGGUAACGCCCGGCGGGGGAAACCCCAGGGAAAGCGCCACAGAAAACAGACUACCACCCUGCGGGGCGGAAAAGGUGAAAAGGUGCGGUAAGAGCGCACCGCGGACCUGGCAACAGGGCCGGCAUGGCAAGCCCCACCAGGAGCAAUGCCGAAUAGGGGCCUCGCGCGGGCUGGUCGGGCAACCGAUACCGCCGCAGGGACGCUUCAGCCCAGAGGCCCGGGUUGGCAGCUAAAACCCGUCAGUAAUGGCGGGCGUAGAGGAAUGGUCAUCCAGGGGCUUCGGCCCUGGACAAAAUCCGGCUUACAGACCUUCCGCGCUA